AUUGAACGCUGGCGGCAUGCCUUACACAUGCAAGUCGAACGGCAGCACGGGUGCUUGCACCUGGUGGCGAGUGGCGAACGGGUGAGUAAUACAUCGGAACAUGUCCUGUAGUGGGGGAUAGCCCGGCGAAAGCCGGAUUAAUACCGCAUACGAUCUACGGAUGAAAGCGGGGGACCUUCGGGCCUCGCGCUAUAGGGUUGGCCGAUGGCUGAUUAGCUAGUUGGUGGGGUAAAGGCCUACCAAGGCGACGAUCAGUAGCUGGUCUGAGAGGACGACCAGCCACACUGGGACUGGGCCACGGCCCAGACUCCUGCGGGAGGCAGCAGUGGGGAAUUUUGGACAAUGGGCGAAGGCCUGAUCCAGCAAUGCCGCGUGUGUGAAGAAGGCCUUCGGGUUGUAAAGCACUUUUGUCCGGAAAGAAAGCCUUGGCCCUAAUACGGUCGGGGGAUGACGGUACCGGAAGAAUAAGCACCGGCUAACUACGUG
rnacentral:rRNA from 1 species